GCCACUGUAGCUCAGUUGGUAGAGCUGCUGAUUUGUAAUCAGCCGGUCGGGGGUUCGAAUCCUCUCGGUGGCUCCA
rnacentral:tRNA from 1 species